UACGGAGGGAGCUAGCGUUGUUCGGAAUUACUGGGCGUAAAGCGCACGUAGGCGGCUUUGUAAGUUAGAGGUGAAAGCCCGGGGCUCAACUCCGGAACUGCCUUUAAGACUGCAUCGCUUGAAUCCAGGAGAGGUGAGUGGAAUUCCGAGUGUAGAGGUGAAAUUCGUAGAUAUCGGGAGGAACACCAGUGGCGAAGGCGGCGAUCUGGGAAGAUACUGACGCUGAGGUGCGAAAGCGUGGGGAGCAAACAGG
rnacentral:rRNA from 1 species